rnacentral:rRNA from 1 species
UUGAUAGGUUCGGUGUGGAAGCGCGGUAACGCGUGGAGCUGACGAAUACUAAUCGGUCGAGGACUUAUCCACA